rnacentral:rRNA from 1 species
UACAGAGGGGGCAAGCGUUGUUCGGAAUUACUGGGCGUAAAGGGCGCGUAGGCGGCCUGCUAAGUCGAACGUGAAAUCCCCGGGCUCAACCCGGGAACUGCGUCCGAUACUGGCAGGCUUGAAUCCGGGAGAGGGAUGUGGAAUUCCAGGUGUAGCGGUGAAAUGCGUAGAUAUCUGGAGGAACACCGGUGGCGAAGGCGGCAUCCUGGACCGGCAUUGACGCUGAGGCGCGAAAGCCAGGGGAGCAAGCGGG